rnacentral:misc_RNA from 1 species
GAUGAAGAACGUAGCGAAAUGCGAUACGUAAUGUGAAUUGCAGAAUUCAGUGAAUCAUCGAAUCUUUGAACGCACAUUGCGCCCGGCAGUACUCUGCCGGGCAUGCCUGUUCGAGCGUCAUUUCAACCCUCAAGCCCUGCUUGGUGUUGGGGCCCCACGGCUGCCGUGGGCCCUGAAAGGAAGUGGCGGGCUCGCUACAACUCCGAGCGUAGUAAUUCAUUAUCUCGCUUAGGGCGUUGGGCGGCGCUCCAGCCGUUAAAGAACCAUCUUUAACUCAAGGUUGACCUCGGAUCAGGUAGGAAUACCCGCUGAACUUAAGCAUAUCAAUAAGCGGAGGA